rnacentral:rRNA from 1 species
CCUACGGGUGGCAGCAGUGAGGAAUAUUGGUCAAUGGACGAGAGUCUGAACCAGCCACGUCGCGUGAAGGAUGACUGCUCUAUGGGUUGUAAACUUCUUUUAUAAAGGAGUAAAACGCGGCACGUGUCCCUUGUUGCAUGUACUUUAUGAAUAAGGAUCGGCUAACUCCGUGCCAGCAGCCGCGGUAAUACGGAGGAUCCGAGCGUUAUCCGGAUUUAUUGGGUUUAAAGGGAGCGUAGAUGGGUUGUUAAGUCAGUUGUGAAAGUUUGGGGCUCAACCGUGGAAUUGCAAUUGAGACUGGCAGUCUAGAGUGCAGUUGAGGUAGGCGGAAUGCGUGGUGUAGCGGUGAAAUGCUUAGAUAUCACGAAGAACACCGAUUGCGAAGGCAGCUUACUAAACUGUGACUGACAUUGAGGCUCGAAAGUGUGGGGAUCAAACAGGAUUAGAUACCCUUGUAGUC